AGCGAACGCUGGCGGCAGGCCUAACACAUGCAAGUCGAACGAACCUUUCGGGGUUAGUGGCGGACGGGUGAGUAACACGUGGGAACGUGCCUUUAGGUUCGGAAUAACUCAGGGAAACUUGUGCUAAUACCGAAUGUGCCCUUCGGGGGAAAGAUUAAUCGCCUUUAGAGCGGCCCGCGUCUGAUUAGCUAGUUGGUUGAGGUAAUGGCUCACCAAGGCGACGAUCAGUGGCUGGUCUGAGAGGAUGAUCAGCCACAUUGGGACUGAGACACGGCCCAAACUCCUACGGGAGGCAGCAGUGGGGAAUCUUGCGCAAUGGGCGAAAGCCUGACGCAGCCAUGCCGCGUGAAUGAUGAAGGUCUUAGGAUUGUAAAAUUCUUUCACCGGGGACGAUAAUGACGGUACCCGGAGAAGAAGCCCCGGCUAACUUCGUG
rnacentral:rRNA from 1 species